AGAUUGAACGCUGGCGGCAUGCCUAACACAUGCAAGUCGAACGGGAGUAGCAAUACUCUAGUGGCGGACGGGUGAGGAAUACGUAGGAAUUUGCCCUUAAGUGGGGGAUAACCCGGGGAAACCCGGAUUAAUACCGCAUGACCUCGAAAGAGCAAAGUGGGGGAUCGCAAGACCUCACGCUUUUGGAGAAGCCUACGUCGGAUUAGCUAGUUGGUGAGGUAAUGGCUCACCAAGGCGACGAUCCGUAACUGGUCUGAGAGGAUGAUCAGUCACACCGGAACUGAGACACGGUCCGACUCCGUACGGGAGGCAGCA
rnacentral:rRNA from 1 species